UGGGGAAUCUUGCGCAAUGCACGAAAGUGUGACGCAGCAACGCCGCGUGAGGGAAGACGGCCUUCGGGUUGUAAACCUCUUUCAGUUGGGACGAGGCCUCGACGGUUAAUACCCGUCUGGGGUGACGGUACCUUCAGAAGAAGCCCCGGCUAACUACGUGCCAGCAGCCGCGGUAAUACGUAGGGGGCAAGCGUUGUCCGGAAUCAUUGGGCGUAAAGAGUGUGUAGGCGGCUUGGUAAGUCCGCUCUGAAAGCCCGGGGCUCAACCCCGGGAGGCGGGUGGAUACUGUCAAGCUUGAGUCUGGAAGAGGCGAGUGGAAUUCCCGGUGUAGCGGUGAAAUGCGCAGAUAUCGGGAGGAACACCAAUGGCGAAGGCAGCUCGCUGGGACAUGACUGACGCUGAGACACGAAAGCGUGGGGAGCAAACAGG
rnacentral:rRNA from 1 species